AUCUAAUAGAUUUGGCGGUAUCCGUUACUUAUCAGAGGAACUUGCUUUGAUAAUCGAUAGUCCUCGAAUAAUCUUACCUUUGUUUGUAGAGAUCAGUUUGUAUACCGUCAUAGAUGUAAUUUUUAUAAAAUUAUAAUUAUUUAAAUAAUUUUUAAGAUGAGACAUUAGAUCAAGGUGCAGCUUAUACAAGGGGUGGAGUUAGUUACAGUAUAUUUUUAUAGGUAGGGAGUGGAUAAUAGUAAUAAAUAUUAUUUGAAAGUGGAUUUGAUUGUAAUUUAAAUUUUAAUAAGGUAUAUUGAUAGUGGUUCUGGGAUAUGU
rnacentral:rRNA from 1 species